rnacentral:rRNA from 1 species
AGCAGUGGGGAAUUUUCCGCAAUGGGCGCAAGCCUGACGGAGCAAGACCGCGUGGGGGAGGAAGGCUCUUGGGUUGUAAACCCCUUUUCUCAAGGAAGAACACAAUGACGGUACUUGAGGAAUAAGCCUCGGCUAACUCCGUGCCAGCAG